rnacentral:rRNA from 1 species
GUCAGAGUUUGAUCCUGGCUCAGGAUGAACGCUAGCGGCAGGCUUAACACAUGCAAGUCGAGGGGUAUUGGUUUUCGGACCAAGAGACCGGCGCACGGGUGCGUAACGCGUAUGCAAUCUACCUUUUACAGAGGGAUAGCCCAGAGAAAUUUGGAUUAAUACCUCAUAGUAUGUGAGAAUCGCAUGGUUUUCACAUUAAAGUUCCAACGGUAAAAGAUGAGCAUGCGUCCCAUUAGCUAGAUGGUAAGGUAACGGCUUACCAUGGCGACGAUGGGUAGGGGAACUGAGAGGUCAAUCCCCCACACUGGCACUGAGAUACGGGGCCAGACUCCGUACGGGA